AUUCCAGCUCCAAUAGCGUAUACUAAAGUUGUUGCAGUUAAAAAGCUCGUAGUUGAAUUUCUGGUCUCGGACAGCGGUCUGCCUCAAACGAGGUACGCACCACCUGUUCAGGUCCAUCCUCGGAGAAAACAUGCCUGUGAUUCAGUUCAUGGGUAUGGGAUCUUCGUCAUUUACUGUGAGCAAAAUAUAGUGUUCAAAGCAGGCUUAUGCCGUUGAAUACAUUAGCAUGGAAUAAUAAAAUAAGACCUUGGUCUAUUCUGUUGGUUUGUACUCCAAGGUAAUGAUUAAUAGGGAUAGUCAGGGGCACCCGUAUUCCGCCGAGAGAGGUGAAAUUCUCAGACCAGCGGAAGACGAACCACUGCGAAAGCAUUUGCCAGGGAUGUUUUCAUCA
rnacentral:rRNA from 1 species